rnacentral:rRNA from 1 species
AGUGAACGCUGGCGGUAGGCCUAACACAUGCAAGUCGAACGGCAGCACAGUAAGAGCUUGCUCUUACGGGUGGCGAGUGGCGGACGGGUGAGGAAUACAUCGGAAUCUACUUUUUCGUGGGGGAUAACGUAGGGAAACUUACGCUAAUACCGCAUACGACCUACGGGUGAAAGCAGGGGAUCUUCGGACCUUGCGCGAUUGAAUGAGCCGAUGUCGGAUUAGCUAGUUGGCGGGGUAAAUGCCCACCAAGGCGACGAUCCGUAGCUGGUCUGAGAGGAUGAUCAGCCACACUGGAACUGAGACACGGUCCAGACUCCUGCGGGAGGCAGCAGUGGGGAAUAUUGGACAAUGGGCGCAAGCCUGAUCCAGCCAUACCGCGUGGGUGAAGAAGGCCUUCGGGUUGUAAAGCCCUUUUGUUGGGAAAGAAAAGCAGCAGGUUAAUACCCCGCUGUUCUGACGGUACCCAAAGAAUAAGCACCGGCUAACUUCGUG